rnacentral:rRNA from 1 species
AGGGGAUUAGUGGCGAACGGGUGAGUAACACGUGGGCAAUCUGCCCUUCACUCUGGGACAAGCCCUGGAAACGGGGUCUAAUACCGGAUACGACCUCCGACCGCAUGGUCUGGUGGUGGAAAGCUCCGGCGGUGAAGGAUGAGCCCGCGGCCUAUCAGCUUGUUGGUGGGGUGAUGGCCUACCAAGGCGACGACGGGUAGCCGGCCUGAGAGGGCGACCGGCCACACUGGGACUGAGACACGGCCCAGACUCCUACGGGAGGCAGCAGUGGGGAAUAUUGCACAAUGGGCGAAAGCCUGAUGCAGCGACGCCGCGUGAGGGAUGACGGCCUUCGGGUUGUAAACCUCUUUCAGCAGGGAAGAAGCGAGAGUGACGGUACCUGCAGAAGAAGCGCCGGCUAACUACGUGCCAGCAGCCGCGGUAAUACGUAGGGCGCAAGCGUUGUCCGGAAUUAUUGGGCGUAAAGAGCUCGUAGGCGGCUUGUCGCGUCGGAUGUGAAAGCCCGGGGCUUAACCCCGGGUCUGCAUUCGAUACGGGCAGGCUAGAGUUCGGUAGGGGAGAUCGGAAUUCCUGGUGUAGCGGUGAAAUGCGCAGAUAUCAGGAGGAACACCGGUGGCGAAGGCGGAUCUCUGGGCCGAUACUGACGCUGAGGAGCGAAAGCGUGGGGAGCGAACAGGAUUAGAUACCCUGGUAGUCCACGCCGU